CCUACGGGAGGCAGCAGUGAGGAAUAUUGGUCAAUGGACGGAAGUCUGAACCAGCCAUGCCGCGUGCAGGAUGACGGCUCUAUGAGUUGUAAACUGCUUUUGUACGAGAAUAAUAGUUCUUACGUGUAGGGAUUUGAAUGUAUCUUACGAAUAAGGAUCGGCUAACUCCGUGCCAGCAGCCGCGGUAAUACGGAGGAUUCGAGCGUUAUCCGGAUUUAUUGGGUUUAAAGGGUGCGUAGGCUGUCGGAUAAGUUAGUGGUCAAAUGUCGGGGCUGAACCCCGUGCCUGGCUCUGAUACUGUUCGACUAGAGAGCGGAUGAAGCAGGCGGAAUGAGUAGUGUAGCGGUGAAAUGCUUAGAUAUUACGCAGAACACCGAUUGCGAAGACAGCUUGCUAAUCCGCAACUGACACUGAUGCACGAAAGCGUGGGUAGCAAACAGGAUUAGAUACCCGGGGAGUC
rnacentral:rRNA from 1 species